CGAAUCUUCCGCAAUGCACGAAAGUGUGACGGGGCAAUGCCGCGUGUGGGAUGAAGCCCUUCGGGGUGUAAACUACUGUCAGGGACUACCAACAACAUGAGGAGUCCCAAAGGAAGAGCCGGCUAACUCUGUGCCAGCAGCCGCGGUAAUACAGAGGGCUCGAGCGUUAAUCGGAAUCACUGGGCUUAAAGCGUGCGUAGGCGGAUUUGAAGGCGCUUUGUGAAAUCCCUCGGCUCAACCGAGGAACUGCUUGGCGAACCACAAAUCUUGAGGCUGGUAGAGGUGGUCGGAACAAUAGGUGGAGCGGUGAAAUGCGUAGAUAUCUAUUGGAACACCGAAGGUGAAGACAGGCCACUGGGCCAGUCCUGACGCUGAGGCACGAAAGCGUGGGUAGCAAACGGGAUUAGAUACCCCGGUAGUCCACGCCGUAAACGAUGCGCACUUGGUCGAGGGGGUUGAACGCCUUCUCGGCCGUAGGAAAACUGAUUAGUGCGCCGCCUGGGGAGUACGGUCGCAAGAUUAAAACUCAAAUGAAUUGACGG
rnacentral:rRNA from 1 species